CCUACGGGAGGCAGCAGUGGGGAAUAUUGCACAAUGGGGGAAACCCUGAUGCAGCGACGCCGCGUGAGUGAAGAAGUAAUUCGUUACGUAAAGCUCUAUCAGCCGGGAAGAAAAUGACGGUACCUGAGUAAGAAGCCCCGGCUAACUACGUGCCAGCAGCCGCGGGAAUACGUAGGGGGCAAGCGUUAUACGGAUUUACUGGGUGUAAAGGGGGCGUAGACGGUGCGCCAAGUCGGGAGUGAAAUGCCGCAGCUUAACUGCGGAACUGCCUUGGAAACUGGCGAACUAGAGUGCGGGAGGGGUAAGCGGAAUGCCCAGUGUAGCGGUGAAAUGCGUAGAUAUUAGGAGGAACACCGGUGGCGAAGGCGGCUUACUGGACCGUAACUGACGUUGAGGCUCGAAAGCGUGGGGAGCAAACAGGAUUAGAUACCCCAGUAGUC
rnacentral:rRNA from 1 species